ACAAGAGUGAUAGUAACAAGAGUGGUAGUAACAAAAGCAGUAGUAACAAAAGCAGUAGUAACAAGAGUAGUAGUAACAACGACGGUAACAACAAUGGACACAAAAACAACUCGAUUGUUACGUACAAACAACCAGAGACAAAGACCAAUAAGAACAACAACAAUGACACAUUUCAAUUAUCACGUCAGUUUUUUAUAUCCAAAAGCGCAUUUUUCGAUGUGGAAGAAUUUAACGAAAACGAUGAUACAAGCUAUUCAACUGAUGUUUCAGAUUAUACAAAAUAUUUAAAAAAAAAAAAAAAAACUACAAGAUCAAGGGAAAAUAGUAGUCGAUAUGAUUGACGAAGCUGAUCUUUUUAUAAAACCAACAGCUACAUCUGAUAAAACAAAAAAACUAAAUGAGAGAAAAUUAGAAAAACUAAGACUAGAGAAUAUAAAACAAAUGUUAGAAAACAAAAAUAUGUAUUUUUGUAAUAUAGAAACAAUAGCAAAAAAAAGAAAAAAGGUUUAUGUUAAAACACAAGCCCUUUCAGAAGAUUCAAAAGUUGAAAGAUUAUAUUUUAGUUAUAAAAUGAAAAAGUUAUAUAAUUCUAAAAAUGGUUUUUAUGGUUGUGGUUGGUCAUGUAAUAAAACAAAAUGGACUCCAUUUAUUCAUGCUCCUUUUUUUGAUAAUCAAUAUCACAUAAUAUAUAAAAAUAAACAUAAAAAAUUAUAUGAUGAAAUAUAUGAUACUUUAUUACAUGGUAGGAUACAUCCACAUAUUAAAAUAGUUGAACUAAAAGAUUAUAAACAUCCUGUACGAUUAUGUACACCUUAUACAGAAGAUUGUUAUUCAGUUGUAUAUACUGGUAAAAAAAUCAACGCUAAUGAUGAUAGGGUAAUUUUUGGUGAAUAUACAGGUUUUGUAGCAAAUAAUAGAGAACUAUCACAGGACAAACAUCAGUAUAUGUUUGCAUUAACGUUUAAUAAAACAGUGUUUAAAGAUAAAAAAAAUGUUAUAUUUGUGAAUGAAAUGAAAUCAAAUGAAAUAGAUAAAGAAGAAAAUACAAGUAUAAAUAUAGAUGAUAAAAAUUGUGAUAUAUUUGAAGAUGUUUCUAUGGAAGAAAACACACGUUUUAAUUUUGGAUCAAACUGUAACAAAAAUUAUCAUACAAAUAAUAUAUCACAUAACAAACACAAUGAUGGAAUUAAAAAUGAGUAUAAUUUUGAAUUAAAAAAUGAUAAGAGUAACAAUAAAAAAGCAGAUGUUAAAAAAGAAAAUUUAAAUUUAGUUAAUAAUAUGAAUAUAUGUGAUAAUGACAAUUUUUUA
ensembl:lncRNA